GCCAGAGUGGUGGAGUGGUUUGAGCAGUGGACUAGGACUCUGGAGACCAGGGUUCGAAUCCUGGCUCUGCCA